GACGAACGCUGGCGGCGUGCUUAACACAUGCAAGUCGAACGGAAAGGCCCCUUUGGGGGUACUCGAGUGGCGCACGGGUGAGUAACACGUGCGUAACCUGCCCUUGACUUCGGGAUAACUUCAGGAAACUGGGGCUAAUACCGGAUAGGAAUCCUUGCUGCAUGGUGGGGGUUGGAAAGCUUCGGCGGUUUUGGAUGGACUCGCGGCUUAUCAGCUUGUUGGUGGGGUAGUGGCUUACCAAGGCUUUGACGGGUAGCCGGCCUGAGAGGGCGACCGGCCACAUUGGGACUGGGAUACGGCCCAGACUCCUACGGGAGGCAGCAGUGGGGAAUAGUGCACAAUGGGCGGAAGCCUGAUGCAGCAACGCCGCGGGCGGGAUGACGGCCUUCGGGUUGUAAACCGCUUUCAGCAGGGGCGAAGCUUGUGGUGACGGUACCUGCAGAAGAAGCACCGGCUAACUACGUG
rnacentral:rRNA from 1 species